rnacentral:rRNA from 1 species
UACGGGGGGGGCAAGCGUUGUUCGGAAUUACUGGGCGUAAAGGGCUCGUAGGCGGCCAACUAAGUCAGACGUGAAAUCCCUCGGCUUAACCGGGGAACUGCAUCUGAUACUGGAUGGCUUGAGUUCGGGAGAGGGAUGCGGAAUUCCAGGUGUAGCGGUGAAAUGCGUAGAUAUCUGGAGGAACACCGGUGGCGAAGGCAGCCCCCUGGGUCAAGAUUGACGCUCAUGCACGAAAGCGUGGGGAGCAAACAGGAUUAGA